UUAUGUUGUGAUAUGAAAUGAAAGAUGAUGAACUAUGCCUGGGCAGAGCGAAGCCAGAGGAAAUGGUGGUGGAAGUCUAUAGCAGUCCUGAUGUGCAAAUUGGUUGGCCGGCCUGGGUAUAGGGGCAAAAGACAAAUGGAGCCAGCUAGUAGCUGGUUCUCUUCACGGAUUCCCUCAGGGCAGUGUCACAGUUUUAUCUGGUAAAGUGAAUGACUAUAAGUCUCAGACUUCAAGUGGGUAAGAAGCCCAGCCACUGAUGUGGAAUGCCAGCCACAUAGUGGGCAACUUUUGGUAAGGAGAGCUGUCGCUGUGAGAUGAACCGAAGGCUGGGUUGAGGCGCCUGAUGCCAACGCUCAUUAGACUCUAAAAAAGGUGCUGGUUGAUAUAGACAGGCCAUGACGGUGGCCAGGUACAUCGAAAAAGGCUAAGGAGUGUGGAACACCUCGCCAGCCGUAUCAUCUAGGCCUAGAAAUGGUUGGCCCAUGCCCUACUUGUCACGGAAUAGCCCGCAACUUAAGAUUUUAGGGUAAUUUAAAGUGCUGUGUAAUUUCCUGAGCUCUUAAACUACACAUGC
rnacentral:ncRNA from 1 species